rnacentral:rRNA from 1 species
AUGAACGCUGGCGGCGUGCCUAAUACAUGCAAGUCGAGCGAACGGACGAGAAGCUUGCUUCUCUGAUGUUAGCGGCGGACGGGUGAGUAACACGUGGAUAACCUACCUAUAAGACUGGGAUAACUUCGGGAAACCGGAGCUAAUACCGGAUAAUAUUUUGAACCGCAUGGUUCAAAAGUGAAAGACGGUCUUGCUGUCACUUAUAGAUGGAUCCGCGCUGCAUUAGCUAGUUGGUAAGGUAACGGCUUACCAAGGCAACGAUGCAUAGCCGACCUGAGAGGGUGAUCGGCCACACUGGAACUGAGACACGGUCCAGACUCCUACGGGAGGCAGCAGUAGGGAAUCUUCCGCAAUGGGCGAACGCCUGACGGAGCAACGCCGCGUGAGUGAUGAAGGUCUUCGGAUCGUAAAACUCUGUUAUUAGGGAAGAACAUAUGUGUAAGUAACUGUGCACAUCUUGACGGUACCUAAUCAGAAAGCCACGGCUAACUACGUG